AAGUUGGGCGCCGGCGACUGGCGGGGGCAGAGGGCCGGGCGCUCCCUCGGGCUCGCGCAGGUGCUCGGGCCUGGCCGGGCUGGGACCGCAGGCGCCUCUCCCGCGCUCGCCUAGCCCGGGCUGCCCCCGCACGCCCACGCCCCAGGUGUCCGGGCGCGCUUUACCCAGGGGCGCCGUGCCCAGGCCAGGAGGCCAGGGCGGAGCGGGUGAGGGAGAAGCCCAUUUAGAUUCAGAGGGAAGCCGGUCCUGGGAGACGGCCGCGAGGAACAAAGGCGCCCCAGUGCUGCCCACUUAGCAUGCCAGAGCCGCGCUGCUCGGCUCCCAGGCCGGGGACACGGCCCGGUGUUAAGCGGAGGGUGCCCGACCGCGGGAAUUCCUAAGGCCACGCGCACCUCCAAGGCCACCGCCGCACACAGCUUCGGAGUGCACAGUGCACACGCCCAGGCACAGGCAGCCGGCCCGAGAAAUUGUGAAUGUCUUGGCUUUGAGUUUAUCUGCGUAUCCUGGCGAAGUUUGGAUGCAGAGAACUUGGAGCUGUUGUUUUCUACCAGACACUAGGAUCCCUGAGAGAGGUGUCAUUCUUUCGCGCUGCACACACCUUCCUCCACGUGGUGAAGAUACAUCGCUCCUGACAGCCUCAUGCCUGACUGGACACUGAAAAAGAGGUGAAGAGAUGAGGCGAUAGAACAAAAGAACAGAAAGAUAAUGAAGCUGAGACUAACAUAAUUAUGUAUGCAGCCACAAAUGGAGCACAAAGCAAUUACUGCUUGUGGGAAUUUGAGAGAUGCUCUUUGAAGAGGUGUGAGGGAAUCAGUAAUACUUGCAGUGACUUUUAAGGAGGUGGAGUGUGCUGAUGAAGAUGCCACAAAGAACUGAUGGGAAGUUAUUCCUCUCCCCAACUGCUAUUGUAUCCUUCCUGUAGUGCUGUCUCUGCUUUUUGCAUCUUGCCCAGUAUAUUAUGACACAAAUAAAAAUUCUCUUUUCAUCAUCUUGCAA
rnacentral:lncRNA from 1 species